CUAAAGUAGGUGGAACAGUUGGUCACAGUCUCUUAGAGCAAAUGGAAACAGCGAAGUACAAAGCAGGAGGAGAGAGCCUCGUUUCUCACCUCUGCAUUAUUACCACUGAAAAGAAGGAUGGAAACCAGUGGAAGGUGACAGCCAGGAAUCCUAAAUCAAAGAAAGAAGUGCUGUGAUCAAGAUGCAGCUUUCUGAGGCUCUUACAAAUGGAAAGAUACUUUUGGAAACCAUACUGGACUGAGGACCUAGACUGAGACUCCCAGAUUCUAAUAAAAAUAUGGCACAGUGAAGUACCGGCUAAAUCAUGCCUAAGUCGUCAAACACAUUGUCCUGGCCAGUACUGAAAGCUGUUGCUACUGCGAAUUCUGCUACCUCUACCAGCAAUGGCUAGAGUCAUAGUGAGCUAGAGGCAAUAAGAACCACUGAUCCGGAUGAUUUUACUUCUUCUGAAAACUGGUAAUGCGUUCUUACAUUUCUCUAAGAAAAACAGGAGUGCACUAAAGAGCAUGAAAAAUCUACAGAGUUGAUUGGAGCAAUGUAAGGAUGGUGCCAUCCAGGAGGAAGUCAGGUGGGUCAGAGCAGCAGUCCCAGCCAUGUGAUGGGCAGUCCAGGAUGGAGCCCAGGGGACCCUGUAGCUAGCCCUGAGGAUUCUGCUGGCUCUCUUCCUCAGCAACAAACUGGCAGUAGCACCCUGCUCCACUUCGGUUUUCCACACCUCUGCCAAGAGCACAGCACUUAACAGGUUAGUCACCGGGGAGGAAUUGGAGGGUAAACAGGGUUUAAGCUGUCCAAACCCUCUGUCAAAUUGUCACAAGUGGUACAUUGUUCCUGGAGGAUUAAGAUGGAAAUAACCUGGUGUUUUUCAAGAGACUGGUUGUGGAAAAGUCGGGCCCCAGGAACAGCUACUGACGAAAGUGCUGUGGAUACAUCAGGUAUGUAAGUCCUGGGCACAGUUCAGCUGAGAGUGUCAGGCAGUGCAUUGACAGUGCACACCCACAGAAAACCACUGCUGUGGCCUCUUGCUAAUUCAAUAAAGGUGUUUGAGAUAUAAUUGUGUAAGAACACAUGACCUGUCUAAAUUUAUAUCAUUAGGUGAUCCAUCCA